rnacentral:rRNA from 1 species
GACGAACGCUGGCGGCGUGCUUAACACAUGCAAGUCGAACGGAAAGGCCCUGCUUUUGUGGGGUGCUCGAGUGGCGAACGGGUGAGUAACACGUGAGUAACCUGCCCUUGACUUUGGGAUAACUUCAGGAAACUGGGGCUAAUACCGGAUAGGAGCUCCUGCUGCAUGGUGGGGGUUGGAAAGUUUCGGCGGUUGGGGUUGGACUCGCGGCUGACGAGCUUGUUGGUGGGGUAGGGGCUUACCAAGGCUUUGACGGGUAGCCCGCCCGUGAGGGUGAACGGCCACAUUGGGCCUACGGUACGGCCCAGACUCCUACGGGAGGCAGCAGUGGGGAGUAUUGCACAAUGGGCGGAAGCCUGAUGCAGCAACGCCGCGUGCGGGAUGACGGCCUUCGGGUUGUAAACCGCUUUCGCCUGUGACGAAGCGUGAGUGACGGUAAUGGGUAAAGAAGCACCGGCUAACUACGUG